rnacentral:lncRNA from 1 species
AUUAAGUGAAGAAAAACAUUAGAUGUCAAAAAUACUGACUAGAAUUCAGUGUGGUUGGGAACAGUUGCAAUGCCCAUGGCUUGAACAGGGAACAAGAAAUUGUUCACGACAGCAGCAAAAGCCUGAGCGCAGAAUGGCCUUUCUGAAGCUGAAAGGAAGGAUGUUACUGGCUGGAAACAUCUGUCUUCUACAAAGGAAUACCUAUGGCUCACACCUUUUACCGUAUUUAACAAAGUCUGUGCAUCAGAUACGUGUCAGGUCAGAAUGGAAACAUUUUACUCCCUCCACUGAGCAUCUCCUAGGAGAGUGUUUUUCACUGAAAAACAGUUUUCACUGGUGCAAGCAUUCAGGAUGAGGAAGCCCAGGAUUAAGAAGUUACAAGUGACUUCCAUAUGGCCCACUCUUGUAUAUCAUAACUGGUAGUGAUUUUCUGCAAACUUUAAAGAGAUUACCUUAAUGUACCUGAAGAUAUCUGUCCAGUGGAAACUCAUGGAGGAAGAUUUUGGCUAUUAGAGGAAGAGAGAAGCAGUUGAAUUUAAGAUAUCAUGAAAGGUCAGGAUGAGGGUCAUGUCUAUUGAAAGAAACAUUUGCUGGUGUUCACAGAAACUAUCUGAGAUUAUGGUCUGAGCUAUUUGAGAUUGUAUCACUGCAUUCACUAAAGAUCUACUUUCCACAUCUCCCAAAGCGAUCAGGAAACCUGAUACUUCCCAAACUGCUACUGAAGUCACUGCUGCCAUUGAAUUACACUAGCUACAUUCUUCAAAUUGAAGUGCCCUUCAAUUUAAAUAUGAUUUUUGGGGACUGCCCAAAACAUGAGUCAUUUCUUCACUGACAGUUUUUCAAAAAUUUUUGCCUGUCUGUUAGCAGAUACCUGUCUUUCUGCUAAAUAAGCCAAGGAUUCUGUUAGCUGUACUAGUUGUGUGGAGUAAAUCACCCUUUGGCCUCUGAAUGCAGUAACCUUUCCACUCUAGCCAUGAAGUAAUUGAUGGAGUAGUACAGGAAAGGUUGCAUUCUUGCUGUCUGGCAAAAUAAUAAAUAAAAAUGUAUCAUUUCUUAAUGGACUUUG